AUUGAACGCUGGCGGCAGGCCUAACACAUGCAAGUCGAGCGAGCGGCGGACGGGUGAGUAAUGUCUGGGAAACUGCCUGAUGGAGGGGGAUAACUACUGGAAACGGUUGCUAAUACCGCAUACCAUCAUCUAUGAACAAUUUGGAUUAGCUAGUAGGUCUGGUAAUGGAGUACCCAGGCGACGAUGCCUAGCAGGUCUGAGAGGAUGAUCAGCCACAGUGGAACUGAGACACGGUCCAGACUCCUACGGGAGGCAGCAGUGGGGAAUCUUCCACAAUGGGCGAAAGCCUGAUGCAGCAAUGCCGCGUGUGUGAAGAAGGCUUUCGGGUCGUAAAGCUCUGUUGGUGGUGAGGCGUUACUCGAACAAGAAGCCCCGGCUAACUCCGUGCCAGCAGCCGCGGUAAUUC
rnacentral:rRNA from 1 species